CUGGCUCAGGAUGAACGCUAGCGACAGGCCUAACACAUGCAAGUCGAGGGGCAGCAUGGUCAAAGCUUGCUUGACUGAUGGCGACCGGCGCACGGGUGCGUAACAGGUGUGCAAUCUGUCCAUAGUCGGGGGAUAGCCCGGCGAAAGCCGAAUUAAUACUCCAUGUGUCAUUUAGCCGCAUGACUGAAUGAUGAAACGUAAGGACUAUGGGUGAGCACGCUUCUGAUUAGGUAGUUGGUGAGGUAACGGCCCACCAAGCCGACGAUCAGUAGGGGUUCUGAGAGGAAGGUCCCCCACAUUGGAACUGAGACACGGUCCAAACUCCUACGGGAGGCAGCAGUGAGGAAUAUUGGUCAAUGGACGAGAGUCUGAACCAGCCAAGUCGCGUGAAGGAUGAAGGUUCUAUGGAUUGUAAACUUCUUUUGUCCGAGGGUAAAGUGCGGUACGUGUACCGUUUGGCAAGUAUCGGACGAAUAAGCAUCGGCUAACUCCGUGCCAGCCGCUGC
rnacentral:rRNA from 1 species